ACUGUGAAACUGCGAAUGGCUCAUUAAAUCAGUUAUGGUUUAUUUGAUGGUACCUUACUACUUGGAUAACCGUAGUAAUUCUAGAGCUAAUACAUGCAGGAGGUCCCGACUUCGGAAGGGAUGUAUUUAUUAGAUAAGAAACCAAUCCGGCUUGCCGGUUGCGUGCUGAGUCACAAUAACUGCUCGAAUCGAAUGGCCUUGCGCCGUCGAUGGUUCAUUCAAAUUUCUGCCCUAUCAGCUUUCGAUGGUAGGAUCGAGGCCUACCAUGGCGUUUACGGGUAACGGAGAAUUAGGGUUCGAUUCCGGAGAGGGAGCCUGAGAAAUGGCUACCACAUCCAAGGAAGGCAGCAGGCGCGUAAAUUGCCCGAAUCCUGACACAGGGAGGUAGUGACAAGAAAUAACAAUACAGGGCUACUUUAGUCUUGUAAUUGGAAUGAGUACAAUUUACAUCUCUUCACGAGGAUCAAUUGGAGGGCAAGUCUGGUGCCAGCAGCCGCGGUAAUUCCAGCUCCAAUAGCGUAUAUUAAAGUUGUUGCAGUUAAAACGCUCGUAGUCGGAUUUCGGGGCCUGCCUGCCGGUCUGCCGAUGGGUAUGCACUGGCAGGCGCGUCCUUCCUUCCGGAGACUGUCCCUACUCUUAACUGAGCGGGGUCGGGAGACGGAUCGUUUACUUUGAAAAAAUCAGAGUGUUUCAAGCAGGCAGCUCGCUCUUGCAUGGAUUAGCAUGGGAUAAUGAAAUAGGACUUUGGUGCUAUUUUGUUGGUUUCGAACACCGAAGUAAUGAUUAACA
rnacentral:rRNA from 1 species